rnacentral:lncRNA from 1 species
CGGGUAUUAACUUCUCUCUACAUGAUCCAACUGACUGGUUGAUCACAAGCCUAAACUUCUCCUAAAGGGUGGGGGAAAUAGCAAGAGUGAGUCCAUGUCGAACUCCACAAGUAUAGCAACUAGAUUGUAUAGAUCCCACAAUCUCAUGAUCAAUGUGACAUAAUUAAUGUAGAGCAUUAAGCAAUAAAUAAUGAGCAUAUUUAACACACAAGAUUCAUCACCCUUAAUGUAGAUGUCCCCAAGGCCGCUCCUGACCGUGAG